UACGAAGGGGGCUAGCGUUGUUCGGAAUUACUGGGCGUAAAGCGCACGUAGGCGGAUAUUUAAGUCAGGGGUGAAAUCCCGGGGCUCAACCCCGGAACUGCCUUUGAUACUGGGUAUCUAGAGUCCGGAAGAGGUGAGUGGAAUUCCGAGUGUAGAGGUGAAAUUCGUAGAUAUUCGGAAGAACACCAGUGGCGAAGGCGGCUCACUGGACUGGUAUUGACGCUGAGGUGCGAAAGCGUGGGGAGCAAACAGG
rnacentral:rRNA from 1 species